rnacentral:rRNA from 1 species
GUGCACCAGGCGAGAAUCCUUCGCAAUGCAGGAAACUGCGACGAGGGAACUCCAAGUGCCUACGCUCAGCGUAGGCUGUUCUCAAGCCUAGAAAGCUUGAGGAGUAAGGGCUGGGUAAGACGGGUGCCAUCUGUGGUAGCAGUCAAUAGAUUCGAUUUGUUACUGCAAGGCAUAAGCCGCCGCGGUAAUACCCGCAGCCCAAGUGGUGGCCGCUUUUAUUGGGGCCUAAAGCGUCCGUAGCCGGCCCGGUAAAUGCCUGGGUAAAUCGUGGAGCCCAACUUCACGAAUUCCGGGUAGACUGCCGAGCUCGGGACCGGAAGAGGGAGAGGGUACUUCGAGGGGUAGGGGUGAAAAGUUUCCGUUUCCAUUAACGCUUUUGCGCGAAGCGGAAAGGGUUAUCAC